UUAGCCCAAAAAAAUUGGGCCUAAACCAUAAAGUAAUAAGGUUAAAACCCUAGCACUAUUUAAAAAGAGAUUUUGCUGAUUUCCACCUAAAUGAAACAAUGAAAAGCGGCACAAACCCUAAUCUCAUUUGACAAACAAUUUAGAAUUUCUUCACUCUCUCACUCCUCUAUUGUUCUUCUUCUGGUCUUCUUCACAAAUCACAAAACUUUUGUUCUACUGUUCUUCAAGUCUUCUUCUAGUCUUCUUCGAGUCUUCAUUUAGUUCAAUGAAGAUGGAACCUCAAAUGGAGGAGCUAUGUGGUGCAAUCAUGAAGUUGAAGGUGCAGGAUGAAGUUGAAAGUCCAUUGGAGAGUGAAAGCCCUGACCUUUCUCUAGAAACACAAAAUUCAGUUACACUUAUUAAUUAGACUUUGGAGUCCUCUAUUGAAUUAGUCAUUACAAGUUUGAUUUUUGAACAUUGUGUUGUUAAUGAUGUUAAUUUUGAACAUCACAAAAUUGUAAUGAACUAAUGAUGUUAAUUUUGAACAUGUGUUGCUUUUGAACAAUAUUAUUCUAUGGUUAUGUAAUGAUUUAAUUUUAAUUUUCUGCCUA